GAUGAACGCUGGCGGCGUGCCUAAUACAUGCAAGUCGAGCGAACAGACGAGGAGCUUGCUCCUCUGACGUUAGCGGCGGAAGGGUGAGUAACACGUGGAUAAACUACCUAUAAGACUGGGAUAACUUCGGGAAACCGGAGCUAAUACCGGAUAAUAUAUUGCACCGCAUGGUUCAAUAGUUAAAGAAGGUUUUGCUGUCACUUAUAGAUGGACCCGCGCCGCAUUCGCUAGUUGGUAAGGUAACGGCUUACCAAGGCAACGAAGCGUAGCCGACCUGAGAGGGUGAUCGGCGAGACUGGAACUGAGACACGGUCCAGACUCCUACGGAAGGCAGCAGUAGGGAAUCUUCCGCAAUGGGCGAAAGCGUGACAGAGCAACACCGCGUGAGUGAUGAUGGUCUUCGGAUCGUAAAACGCUGUUAUUAGGGAAGAACAAAUGUGUAAGUAACUAUGCACGUCUUGACGGUACCUAAUCAGAAAGCCACGGCUAACUACGUG
rnacentral:rRNA from 1 species